UGCGAAAUGUUGUAAAAUACGAAAAAUAUAGCCAUGUAAAAUUAGCAAAUUUUGAGCAUUUUAUUAUUACGCACAGAAAAAUGCACCAUUUUUGAACCGAAAAUUGUGCAUUUUUCCGCGCGUAAUACUAAUUAAAACACUAUAUUAUUUUCCGUAGUUGCAUUUUGCAACCAAACUUUGCAAUUUAACUAAUUUUAGGAUGCUCUUUUUGUGCUGUAAUGAUACUGUAGAUCGUCUUCCUUGCCUUAGUCGAUAGCUGGAAUCAUUUAUAGGAGGAUUUCCAAUGACAUCU